CAACUUUUAGCAACGGAUCUCUUGGCUCUCGCAUCGAUGAAGAACGCAGCGAAAUGCGAUAAGUAAUGUGAAUUGCAGAAUUCAGUGAAUCAUCGAAUCUUUGAACGCACCUUGCGCUCCUUGGUAUUCCGAGGAGCAUGCCUGUUUGAGUGUCAUG
rnacentral:rRNA from 10 species